rnacentral:rRNA from 1 species
GUGGGGAAUAUUGGACAAUGGGCGAAAGCCUGAUCCAGCCAUGCCGCGUGUGUGAAGAAGGUCUUCGGAUUGUAAAGCACUUUAAGUUGGGAGGAAGGGCAGUAAGUUAAUACCUUGCUGUUUUGACGUUACCGACAGAAUAAGCACCGGCUAACUUCGUGCCAGCAGCCGCGGUAAUACGAAGGGUGCAAGCGUUAAUCGGAAUUACUGGGCGUAAAGCGCGCGUCGGUGGUUUUGUAAGUUGGAGGUGAAAUCCCCGGGCUCAACCUGGGAACUGCCUCCAAAACUGCAUGACUAGAGUACGGUAGAGGGUAGUGGAAUUUCCUGUGUAGCGGUGAAAUGCGUAGAUAUAGGAAGGAACACCAGUGGCGAAGGCGACUACCUGGACUGAUACUGACACUGAGGUGCGAAAGCGUGGGGAGCAAACAGGAUUAGAAACCCUUGUAGUCC